GAGCGGCGAACGGGUGAGUAACACGUGAGUAACCUGCCCCUGACUCUGGGAUAAGCCUGGGAAACCGGGUCUAAUACCGGAUGUGACCUCCUCCGGCAUCGGAUGGUGGUGGAAAGUUUUUCGGUCAGGGAUGGGCUCGCGGCCUAUCAGCUUGUUGGUGGGGUAGUGGCCUACCAAGGCGACGACGGGUAGCCGGCCUGAGAGGGCGACCGGCCACACUGGGACUGAGACACGGCCCAGACUCCUACGGGAGGCAGCAGUGGGGAAUAUUGCGCAAUGGGCGGAAGCCUGACGCAGCGACGCCGCGUGGGGGAUGACGGCCUUCGGGUUGUAAACCUCUUUCAGCAGGGACGAAGUUGACGUGUACCUGCAGAAGAAGCGCCGGCUAACUACGUGCCAGCAGCCGCGGUAAUACGUAGGGCGCAAGCGUUGUCCGGAAUUAUUGGGCGUAAAGAGCUCGUAGGUGGCUGGUCGCGUCUGCCGUGAANCCCGCAGNUAACUGCGGGUCUGCGGUGGAUACGGNCCGGCUAGAGGUAGGUAGGGCCAAGUGNAAUUNCUU
rnacentral:rRNA from 1 species